UUACAUUUCAGCCUGGGCAACAAGAGUGAAACUCCGUCUCAAAAAAACAAACAAACAAACAAAAAACACAAAGAAUUAGCAUUACAUGCUCCAAUUUGGUGCAGACACUAUAGCAUAUAGGCUACCUGUGACAUUCCAGUUACUAAAAUGGUUGAUAGAUUUGAGAACACUUCACAACAGUUGGAAGCAACACAGACAUUAUUAAAAUUUGCCUUAAAAACAAAGAAAAAGGACUAACCCGACCACCGCUGGCCUUCGCAGGACACCAUGAACCACACAGUCCAAACCUCCUUCUCUCCUGUCAACAGCGGCCAGCCCCACAACUAUGAGAUGCUCAAGGAGGAGCACGAGGUGGCUGUACUGGGGGCGCCCCACAACUCUGCUCCCCUGAUGUCCACCAUGAUCCACAUCCGCAGUGAGACCUCCGUGCCCGACCACGUCGUCUGGUCCCUGUUCAACACCCUCUUCAUGAACCCCUGCUGCCUGGGCUUCACAGCAUUCGCCUACUCCGUGAAGUCUAGGGACAGGAAGAUGGUUGGCGGCCUGACUGGGGCCCAGGCCUAUGCCUCCACCGCCAAGUGCCUGAACAUCUGGGCCCUGAUUUUGGGCAUCCUCAUGACCAUUCUGCUCAUCGUCAUCCCAGUAUUGAUCUUCCAAGCCUACUGAUAGAUCAGGAGACAUCAUUCAGGCCAGGAGCCCUGCCCAUAACCUGUAUCCCACGUGCUCCACCUUCCAUUCCUCGCCCUGCCCCUGGAGCCAAGUCCUGUAUCAGCCCUUUAUCCUCACACACUUUUCUACCAUGGCAUUCAAUAAACUGUACGUUUAAAAAAAAAAAAAAAAGAAAAAAGUCAUUAACUAUGUAAAACAAGGGAUAUAUUAACUUUGAAAACAGAAAGGGUUGAUUCCUCUUUUUUUUUUUUUGAGAUGGAGUCUCGCUCUGUCACCCAGGCUGAAGUGCAGUGGCGU